UACGGGGGGAGCAAGCGUUGUUCGGAUUUACUGGGCGUAAAGGGCGCGUAGGCGGCCAGCGCAAGUCAGUUGUGAAAUCUCCGGGCUUAACUCGGAACGGUCAACUGAUACUGCGCGGCUAGAGUGCAGAAGGGGCAACUGGAAUUCUCGGUGUAGCGGUGAAAUGCGUAGAUAUCAGGAGGAACACCUAUUGCGAAGGCAGCUCGCUGGGACGUAACUGACGCUGAGACGCGAAAGCGUGGGGAGCAAACAGG
rnacentral:rRNA from 1 species